GAUGAACGCUAGCUACAGGCUUAACACAUGCAAGUCGAGGGGAAACGGCAUCGAAAGCUUGCUUUUGAUGGGCGUCGACCGGCGCACGGGUGAGUAACGCGUAUCCAACCUGCCCAUCACUUGGGAAUAACCUUGCGAAAGUAAGACUAAUGCCCAAUGACAUCCCACGAAGGCAUCCGAAUGGGAUUAAAGAUUUAUCGGUGAUGGAUGGGGAUGCGUCUGAUUAGCUUGUUGGCGGGGUGACGGCCCACCAAGGCAACGAUCAGUAGGGGUUCUGAGAGGAAGGUCCCCCACAUUGGAACUGAGACACGGUCCAAACUCCUACGGGAGGCAGCAGUGAGGAAUAUUGGUCAAUGGGCGAGAGCCUGAACCAGCCAAGUAGCGUGCAGGAUGACGGCCCUAUGGGUUGUGAACUGCUUUUAUAAGGGAAUAAAGUGGGUCACGUGUGACUUUUUGCAUGUACCUUAUGAAUAAGGACCGGCUAAUUCCGUG
rnacentral:rRNA from 1 species